GACGAACGCUGGCGGCGUGCCUAAUACAUGCAAGUCGAACGCUGAAGAGAGGAGCUUACUCUUCUUGGCUGAGUUGCGAACGGGUGAGUAACGCGUAGGUAACCUGCCUUGUAGCGGGGAUAAAUUAUUGGAACGAAUACUAAUACCGCCUAACAAAUGGUUGAACCAUUCAUUUAUUUUAAAAGGGCCAUUUCUCCAAUAACAAGUUGACCUGCGUUGUAUUAGCUAGUAGGUGAGGUAAUGGCUCACCUAGGCGACGAUACAUAGCCGACCUGAGAGGGUGAUCGGCCACACUGGGACUGAGACACGGCCCAGACUCCUACGGGAGGCAGCAGUAGGGAAUCUUCGGCAAUGGGGGCAACCCUGACCGAGCAACGCCGCGUGAGUGAAGAAGGUUUUCGGAUCGUAAAGCUCUGUUGUAAGUCAAGAACGGGUGUGAGAGUGGAAAGUUCACACUGUGACGGUAGCUUACCAGAAAGGGACGGCUAACUACGUG
rnacentral:rRNA from 1 species